rnacentral:rRNA from 1 species
CCGGCGAGGGGAGUGAAAAAGAACCUGAAACCGUGUACGUACAAGCAGUGGGAGCACCCUUUGGGGUGUGACUGCGUACCUUUUGUAUAAUGGGUCAGCGACUUAUAUUCUGUAGCAAGGUUAACCGUAUAGGGGAGCCGUAGGGAAACCGAGUCUUAACCGGGCGUUAAGUUGCAGGGUAUAGACCCGAAACCCGGUGAUCUAGCCAUGGGCAGGUUGAAGGUUGGGUAACACUAACUGGAGGACCGAACCGACUAAUGUUGAAAAAUUAGCGGAUGACCUGUGGCUGGGGGUGAAAGGCCAAUCAAACCGGGAGAUAGCUGGUUCUCCCCGAAAGCUAUUUAGGUAGCGCCUCGUGAAUUCAUCUCCGGGGGUAGAGCACUGUUUCGGCUAGGGGGCCAUCCCGGCUUACCAACCCGAUGCAAACUGCGAAUACCGGAGAAUGUUAUCACGGGAGACACACGGCGGGUGCUAACGUCCGUCGUGAAGAGGGAAACAACCCAGACCGCCAGCUAAGGUCCCAAAGUCAUAGUUAAGUGGGAAACGAUGUGGGAAGGCCCAGACAGCCAGGAUGUUGGCUUAGAAGCAGCCAUCAUUUAAAGAAAGCGUAAUAGCUCACUGGUCGAGUCGGCCUGCGCGGAAGAUGUAACGGGGCUAAACUAUGCACCGAAGCUGCGGCAGCGA